GAUGAACGCUGGCGGCGUGCCUAAUACAUGCAAGUCGAGCGAACAGAUGAGGAGCUUGCUCCUCUGACGUUAGCGGCGGACGGGUGAGUAACACGUGGAUAACCUACCUAUAAGACUGGGAUAACUUCGGGAAACCGGAGCUAAUACCGGAUAAUAUAUUUAACCGCAUGGUUCAAUAGUGAAAGACGGUUUUGCUGUCACUUAUAGAUGGAUCCGCGCCGCAUUAGCUAGUUGGUAAGGUAACGGCUUACCAAGGCAACGAUGCGUAGCCGACCUGAGAGGGUGAUCGGCCACACUGGAACUGAGACACGGUCCAGACUCCUACGGGAGGCAGCAGUAGGGAAUCUUCCGCAAUGGGCGAAAGCUUGACGGAGCAACGCCGCGUGAGUGAUGAAGGUCUUCGGAGCGUAAAACUCUGUUAUUAGGGAAGAACAAAUGUGUAAGUAACUAUGCACGUCUUGACGGUACCUAAUCAGAAAGCCACGGCUAACUACGUG
rnacentral:rRNA from 1 species